rnacentral:rRNA from 1 species
GAGUUUGAUCGUGGCUCAGAUUGAACGCUGGCGGCAGGCCUAACACAUGCAAGUCGAGCGGUAGAGAGAAGCUUGCUUCUCUUGAGAGCGGCGGACGGGUGAGUAAUGCCUAGGAAUCUGCCUGGUAGUGGGGGAUAACGCUCGGAAACGGACGCUAAUACCGCAUACGUCCUACGGGAGAAAGCAGGGGACCUUCGGGCCUUGCGCUAUCAGAUGAGCCUAGGUCGGAUUAGCUAGUUGGUGAGGUAAUGGCUCACCAAGGCGACGAUCCGUAACUGGUCUGAGAGGAUGAUCAGUCACACUGGAACUGAGACACGGUCCAGACUCCUACGGGAGGCAGCAGUGGGGAAUAUUGGACAAUGGGCGAAAGCCUGAUCCAGCCAUGCCGCGUGUGUGAAGAAGGUCUUCGGAUUGUAAAGCACUUUAAGUUGGGAGGAAGGGCAGUAAAUUAAUACUUUAGCUGUUUUGACGUUACCGACAGAAUAAGCACCGGCUAACUCUGUGCCAGCACG